rnacentral:rRNA from 1 species
GAUCUGGCUCAGGACGAACGCUGGCGGCGCGCCUAACACAUGCAAGUCGAACGAGCGAGAGAGAGUUUACUUUUUCGAGCGAGUGGCGAACGGGUGAGUAACGCGUGAGGAACCUGCCUCAAAGAGGGGGACAACAGUUGGAAACGACUGCUAAUACCGCAUAAGCCCACGACCCGGCAUCGGGUAGAGGGAAAAGGAGCAAUCCGCUUUGAGAUGGCCUCGCGUCCGAUUAGCUAGUUGGUGAGGU